UCUACACUUUCCCAGUUAGUAAUGCAAUGC
rnacentral:piRNA from 1 species